rfam:Larimichthys crocea isolate SSNF unplaced genomic scaffold scaffold62, whole genome shotgun sequence.
UCACAUGGUCAGUUUUGCUGGUUUGCAUUCAGCUUUAACUUUUGUUUGCUGUGCAAAUCCAUGCAAAACUGACCAGGUUG